rfam:Ictidomys tridecemlineatus contig072329, whole genome shotgun sequence.
GGGGUUGUGGCUCAGUGGUAGAACACUAGCCUAGCAUGCAUGAGGCCCUGGGUUCAAUCCCCAGCACCA